UGAAUCACCCCUCCUACAAGAGGCGGUGGACUUUAACUUUACAGAGAAAGCGCCUUUUAAUAAACAAUUGUAACCAGAGAUGCAGCAUGAAGCUGUCCUUGACGGCUAAUUCUGAGAGUAACACGUACCGAUGAUGCUGUUCAUCUAUCUGUUGGUACUGUUAAUAGAUACAGCUUCUCUGCAUCAGGUAGUUGAAGGUGUUGAAGGAGGCUCUGUCGUUUUGCUGUGCAGCAACAGAAGCACUGUACUUGAAGAAAAACAACUGACAGUUCACUGGAGACACAACGACACCAGGAAUGUAUAUGAUAUUAGCCAAGGACAAGUUUCUGUAAUGACACAAGACCCAGCGUACAAGAACAGAGCUGAAGUUUUAUCUGAAGAGCUCAAGAAGGGCCAGAUCUUUCUCAAACUCACCGAUCUUCAGCUCUCCGAUAGAGGAACGUAUCUCUGUUUUGUUCCAGCUGUGAGACUUUAUCACAGUACUCAACUGGUGGUCAAAGAAAGAUCAUUCAUAAAAUGCACAACUGCUCAAAUAAGAAGCCAUAGUAUAGAAACAAGGCUGGGAAGGACUCUGCACCACCUAAUUCUCAUAGUUUCAUCUGGAUUCAUCCUGCACUUUAUUUAGAUAGAUGCACUGAUAUACAAUUUCUAGCUGAUACAGAUUAAUAUAAUUUUUUAUAUUUUACAUGAAACCUGAUGUGUUGAUAUAAUCUAUGGAGUUCAUUUAAAAACUGUUUUCUGUUGUUUUCUUGUAUAAUGUGCCACACUAAUCUUUCUCACAUGCACACUGCGAAUGAAUAGCCACUGAAAUGAGAACUGAAAAUUAUUUAUAACAUUUACUUAAGUAUUUCUUAAUGAAACAAUUUAUAUGAAAGCUGUAAUGAAGGUUGGUUCAGCCUAUGAGGUUCUGAUGUAGGUUAUAUAAAAUAAUGUGUAGCCAAAUUAAUGGGUGACGGAAAUUAACCCUUCAUUUCAUAUUCAUUUUAACUUCUUUUAGCUCAUUGAAAACGCGCUGCCUUUGGCCAAUUCUAACCUCAGAAACUGAGUGUAAUAUUCAAUAGACCACAAAUAAAAAGAAGUCGUAUGGGAUUGAUGGUGCUGGCGUCUUUAUUCCACGUGGAGCGCCAUCACACACACACACACACACACACACACACACACGUUUGUUUUUGUGAAUUUUGGGGACAUUCCAUAGGCGUAAUGGUUUUUAUAGUCUACUGUACAAACCGUAUUUUCUAUCCCCCUACCCUUAAACCCAUCACAGAAAACUGUGCACAUUUUUGUAUGGAGCCGUUUAAGAACACAUGUCGACUCCUCCUAUGAGAGGCGGAGAUUGCCGCGAUUAUUUGAAUCUCAGUGUAUUUUCAAACGGAGCGCUGUUUCUGAAUCUGACAGUAAACCCUCACAUCAGUACAACAUGUA